UUCCCCUAGUAACUGCGAGUGAAGCGGGAAAAGCUCAAAUUUAAAAUCUGGUAGUCUUUGGCUGCCCGAGUUGUAAUCUAGAGAAGCAUUAUCCGCGCUGGACUGUGUAUAAGUGUCCUGGAAUGGAUCAUCAUAGAGGGUGAGAAUCCCGUCUUUGACACAGACUCCCAGUGCUUUGUGAUGUGCUCUCAAAGAGUCGAGUUGUUUGGGAAUGCAGCUCUAAAUGGGUGGUAAAUUCCAUCUAAAGCUAAAUAUUGGCGAGAGACCGAUAGCGAACAAGUACCGUGAGGGAAAGAUGAAAAGAACUUUGGAAAGAGAGUUAAACAGUACGUGAAAUUGCUGAAAGGGAAACGCUUGAAGUCAGUCGCGUUGGCUGGGGAUCAACCUUGCUUUUGCUUGGCUUACUUCCCAGUUGACGGGUCAGCAUCAGUUUUGACCGGUGGAUAAAGGCUAGGGGAAUGUGGCACCUCCGGGUGUGUUAUAGCCCUUGGUCAUAUACAUUGGUUGG
rnacentral:rRNA from 1 species